rnacentral:lncRNA from 1 species
UGACCGUUGUCAUAGAAUUAUUUUUUUUUUUUUUUACACACUAUAUGUAAAUUGACUUGCAAAAUUGAAAAUAACACGUUGUGAACAAAUUUACAACGUUGCAAAAGACUAGCUUUUGCAACUUUUUUUUACCGUUGCCAUAGAAUUUUUUUUUUUUUUUUACACACUUUAUGUAAAUUGACUUGCAAAAUUGAAAAUAACACGUUGUGAACAAAUUUUGGAAUUGCAUAAAAAUUAAUAAUUUCAUUAAAAAUUUUUGAAUCAAUACACUUGAAUAUUAAAAUGUGAUACAAUACCACCUAACUAAAAAGGAGUAGGGAUUAAAGAUGAUACAAAUUAAAAUGUUAUUAAUCCCUAGACAUCCCAAUGCAUAACCCACAAUCCACACCUUCAAUGGAGCAUGUGGAUGCUCAUGCUUUGACAAAGAUAAGACGUGGAUACUCUUGCCUUACAUGAUCAAGCACUUCAGGGGAGCAUGAUUUGAGAAGCUCAAGCACAUGCGGAUGACCGCUGCAAAUUUCCUCCACCAGACAAUUUAGAUCAUGAAUUAUCUGUUAAAAAAUUGUAAUUAUUAAAUAUAGCAUAGUAUAAACUUUUGUCACAAAUAGCAUAAAUCAUAAAAAAAAUGCCAUGUUCAUCUAUCUGUAUUUCAGGAGAUCAGGAUAGCGCAAACUGAAAGAAGAAAAGAAAACUCAGGCAAAAAAUAUUCACGAUUGCAACAAUUGAAAAUUAAGUUCAAAGAGAAAAAACCACUUAGCAGUUAGCACCAAUGGCAAAAUUGGCAAUAAACCGGUGAAAAUAGAAUUAAAAUCACAGCCCAAUGUAUUUAUUGUUAGACCUAAUACAAAGAGAGCGAAAAAAAUGCUUUUCAUACUCCCAAAAGAUCGGCUAUGUUGAAAGUGACAAACAACAAGUCUGACAAACCUCAGGCCCUUGCUAUUUACGACUAUUUAACAAUCUCGUGUCAACUGAAUAAAAAAACACAAUAACACCAAGUAAACCAUAUCAACACAAGUAGAAAUCAAACCAGCAAUUUUCACUAAUGGGGAGUGAAGGCCACACAAAAAUAUUAUAAAAUAUUUCUAGUGUCUGUCUUUAGAAUUCCAGGUGAAUACAAAAAUGUACAACAUUUGAGGAUGAAGGUUGAUUUAAACCAAAUCUCAAGUGAAUAUCAAAUGGUUAGUUCCAAUUCUUGAGUAGGGUAAAUGAAAGAGUAAAAUCCUGAAUCUGGGUAGAUCAGGGGUACCCAUGGGCUCCAUAGUCCCAAGGAUAUGAUAAUUUAGAGCUCUAAAACAAGUCACACAAAGUGGGGGCAAGGGGGAAAAGCAUUAACUAAUGCAAAANUCCAUAUCUCGUAAUUGAUCGGAUCAUAUUGACGAAGGGAUUAUAGUUUCACGGUAAACGAACGAAUUUGGUUUUGUCAUACCACGUGACAUUUCCCGUCACAUGUAUUGCCCUGACACAUUGCUAGAUGUCAAUCAGGGACGGCGAAUGUGAAUUGACGAUAAAUUAAAAGGGUGUUUUAAUUUAUCAAUUUUGAUUAGAUUAAAAUAAUAUUUCACGUCGUUAGGCAUCGUGGUCGGGAACCUAAUGGGUCACACACAAAAGAGAAUUGGAAGAUUGCAAAUUGCCAAUUGGUUAAUUUAACAAUCGUUGGAUAAAUUAAUUAAUUGGAUUUGUUAUUUAUAUUUUCGAAUUAAUUAAUUGGAUUAAUUAAUUCAC